UAAUCCGAUGGGCUUUGACUGUGAAACGUGAUUGGGCUGAUAUUUUCUUCUGCGGCCCGGCAGCCUGUAAUCGAAAACCCUAAGUUUGAUUACGCAAAAAUUGAGUUCGUCUCUCCUCUUGCACCUUCAUCGAGAAUGUCGACAGAAGAAGCUAGGGGUUCGUCAUCUCCCCUAGAUCCGACCAUGUCAAACAAGCAUGGAUGUUCUGGAAGGAACCUCAAGUCAGAUCUUCAUAAACUUUUGUGUCGUUCAUAGUUCCCGUCGUUACGCUUGAUUUCGACCUCCUCUGAUCUGUUACGCAGCAGUGAUCUUCACUUAUAAAAAGGGGAGACUUCACCUUACGAAAAUCAUCCUCCCGGCUCCUAAUAUCAGCAAAACCUCAUCUUCUUCGAUUUCAUCGCUUAAACUUUCAUGCUCGCUGAUUUGGAGGCCGUCAGUGUUUUUCCACUGUGGUGGUGUUACUUCUCGAGAAACGUGAAAGGAGGUGACGAGCUGAUGGGCGUGGACAAGCUUCUCCUCGACUCUAAGCAACCCUCAUACCGCCACCGUCUCACGGCUUACCGGCAUCAUUUUAAGGCAGUGUUUCAACUGAAUUUGAAGAGAUACGGUUCUACCAAUUCCUAAAGAACGCUUCAAGUUCCAUAAUCACAGUGAGGUACUUUGGCUGGCCAACAGGAACACACACCUUCCCGACCUUAUCUGUGAGCUCACAGCUGUGAAGAGUAUUGUGAGUGACCCUACACAAGGAAAACAUCGUGUCAUGACCGGAGGCUCCAGCUGCUCCCAGUUAUGAUGAUGUUGCAACAAGCAUAAACCUCAAGAUUGUUCGAGGUGCUCAGUCAUGUUAUGGCAACAAUUAAAAUCGACAGUGAUGUUUCUCUGACUUUGAGUUUGUUCCACUCACAACUCUCAAGCUGUAUCGUUUCACAACCACCUGGAAGGCUUCUGUGUUGAUCUAAUAGUUGUUGCUACAAGCAUAAACCUCCAAGAUUGUUGGAGGUGCUCUAUCAUGUAUCAUCUGUUUUUUUUGUUAACUGUGAAUUACUUUACUGCUGCUUGGAACAAGCAAAAAACCCAAAAACGAAAAAAACCUGAGUUUCACAGGUCAAUACAUACUUUAAUAGCUUA